rnacentral:rRNA from 1 species
CCUACGGGAGGCAGCAGUGGGGGAUAUUGCACAAUGGGGGAAACCCUGAUGCAGCGACGCCGCGUGUGGGAAGACGGUCCUCUGGAUUGUAAACCACUGUCCCCAGGGACGAAGAUGACGGUACCUGGGGAGGAAGCUCCGGCUAACUACGGGCCAGCAGCCGCGGUAAUACGUAGGGAGCGAGCGUUGUCCGGAAUUACUGGGGGAAAAGGGAGCGUAGGCGGGACUGCAAGUUGGGUGUCAAAUCUACCGGCUCAACCGGUAGCCGCACUCAAAACUGCAGUUGUUGAGUGAAGUAGAGGCAGGCGGAAUUCCUAGUGUAGCGGUGAAAUGCGUAGAUAUUAGGAGGAACACCAGUGGCGAAGGCGGCCUGCUGGGCUUUUACUGACGCUGAGGCUCGAAAGUGUGGGGAGCAAACAGGAUUAGAUACCCUAGUAGUC